rnacentral:tRNA from 1 species
GGCAAUGUAGCACAGUGGUUAUGCGCAUGGACUCUGGAGCCAGGCUGUCUGUGUUCAAAUCAUAGUUCUGCCA